AGCCUGGUGGGGGGCCAGAGAGGCCAGUCCGCUGGGCCUCAGUGGUGAGGGGAGCUGGCACAGGGGCCUCCCUGGCCCUGUCCCGCACCCCAGGGCACCCGCGGCCUCCCCCCUGACACAGUGCGCUUCGGGCUCGAUGGCCACUCGGACGAACUCGAGGACCCUGUGGACGCUUUCACUGACCGGCCGCUGCUGUGCCCCACUCUGCUCCCAUCCAAGGCUUCCUGCAGCCCAGCAGCUCUCUGGAACUUUCUGGAACCAGCUUUUCGCAGAGUGUGCACCUCGGGGUGGAGGUGUGGCUGCCGGGCCCUGCAGGGGCUCCGUGGACGCAGCCCCCCGAAGCCUGCGUGCUCCCUGCACCUCGGGAUGUACCCAGGAGCGCUGGGAGGUGCUUGGCGGUCUCAAGGAGCUGUGGGGGGUCUGGGUGUCUCUGGGCCCCUGCUCUGGACAGGGGUUGGGGAUCCAGAGGUGGACCCGAUCCAGCCCAGCACCUGCGGGCUGGUGUCUGCGACAGCUCGCCCUGGAGCCUGGACUGGCACCGGAGCCCAAGGUGCACCGCAGUGGAGACCGAGGCACCCUCGGUGAGACACGAUUCGCCAAAGCCACACAGCGGCCCGGGGCACGCCCCCAGCCCCACCUCUGGCCCAGCACCUAGACCAGGGCUCAGUCCUCGGCCAAGUUCCCUGCGCCAGGAGCCAAGGACCUGGUGCGGUGGCAGUGUUGGCUGUGACCCUUGGGUCACCUCCUCCCCUGCUCUGAUGACCUCUCGGGGGCCCCCACUCCAGCCGUGGGUCUGGGGUCCUCAGGCCCGGCCAUGGGGCCCCUCCGUGUCUGGCUGGGAGACCCCGGUGAGGGGCUUCUUCCUCCCGCCAGACGGACGCCAAGGAUGGCAGCCGCAGGCAGUGUGGACGGCUUUGAGGAUGCCCUGGGGGUCUGUUUCCUGUACCUCGGAGCCCACCGGAGCCCUCACACGCAUUUGUCCAGAGCAAGACAAGACACACACUUUGACAUCCCUCAGUCGAGCUGCUGGCCCCAGAAAAUCUCCAGGAAAGUGGAGUCUCCAGGCUGUUCUGAAGAAUCGCGUUCUCCAUUCAUCCUCCAGCGCCUCCCAGAACCUCCUCCUCCUCCUCGGAAAUCUCUGGAAAGGACGCAGCUCUCCUCCGAUCGAGGUUGAGGGUGAAGUCCUCCGAGGUCCCUGAAAAACCCAUGCAAGACAGAGGCAAGGGAUCUCAUGGCCUGUUCUUGCUAUAAAAGGGCCUUUUUCGGAAAAAAAUAAUAAAGAAAGGAAUCAGCCAAUCCCUCCUCGAUGCCAUCA